GUAAAUAAGCUAACUUAGCGGCUUCUUUUUGAGCUCAAGUUAAAUGGGAAAUGUUUGCUAAGGUUGUUACUUAAUAAUGUGCCCAAGAGAAGAAGAAGUACAGCUAAUGUUCGGCUGUUAUUCUCGAAAAUUACACCUGCUCCCGCGCUUUUCGCUAAGAAGCUACGUAGUUAGCAUGUUAGCUAACCAAGUAGAUACUAGUUAGCUCCAAAAGAAGUCCCAGCUGUGGGGGAGCUGGCUGUUUGUAAACAGAAGAGGGACUUUCUCUCAAGUUUAUUUAUACAACUGGCAUGACUGCUGACACCCUCAAUCAUUGGACUGCAAAAGAAAUGUUUUCCUGAGGUCUGUUGGAGAUGAAUGGUUUGCUGAAGGCUCUACUGGCACCAGCUCAGCACUACUGACACACCAUAUACCAUCAUUAAAGCUUUCCAAGAUGUUCCCGGAGCUUUCCACAAGUUCCUCCAGCUCUCCAUCUUCAACUCUCGCUUCUCCGCCUGGAUCUGUUUGUCCUGAACCCGGGCGUUCUCCACCGCCACCUUCAGCAGACCCUGAGGAAACACACGUGAUGAAGAAGAGGAGGAUGAAGAACAAGACUGUAAAGCCUCCAGAAGACCAAAAGGGCCAAUUUUUCAAACGGAGAAUGAGAGAUGAACCGACUGCACUUUCUAUUGUUUCACAC